rfam:Schistosoma rodhaini strain Burundi genome assembly, scaffold: SROB_scaffold0000148
AUCCAGCUGACGAGUCCAAAAUAGGAUGAAACGUAAAUCCUGGAU